rnacentral:rRNA from 1 species
GACAGAGGGGGAGAGCGUUGUCCGGAGUCACUGGGCGUAAAGCGCGCGCAGGCGGCAACCUUAGUGUCGUGUGAAAGCCCCCGGCUCAACCGGGGGAGGCCAUGGCAAACUGGGUCGCUCGAGCUGCGGAGAGGCCCCUCGAAGUGCCGGUGUAGCGGUGAAAUGCGUAGAGAUCGGCAGGAAGACCAAGGGGGAAGCCAGGGGGCUGGCCGCAGGCUGACGCUGAGGCGCGAAAGCGUGGGGAGCAAACCGG